rnacentral:rRNA from 1 species
UACGAGGGGGGCAAGCGUUGUUCGGAAUUAUUGGGCGUAAAGGGCGCGUAGGCGGUGCGGUAAGUCACCUGUGAAAACUCUGGGCUCAACUCAGAGCCUGCAGGCGAAACUGCCGUGCUUGAGUGUGGGAGAGGUGCGUGGAAUUCCCGGUGUAGCGGUGAAAUGCGCAGAUAUCGGGAAGAACACCCGUGGCGAAGGCGGCUCUCUGGGGACGGUACUGACGCUGAG